GCCGGGGUGGCGCAGUAGGUAGCGUGCCUGGCUGUUAAACCUAGCAUGGAUGAAGAACGAACCUCAAUUAACCGAGGACGACAUGCUUGAGUACAGCGACCAGGCGGUCAGAGGUUCGAGUCCUCUCCCCGGCGCCA
rnacentral:tRNA from 1 species